UUAAUUUCUCAGUCAUUUGACAACCGAUUUUAAAAAACUUUAUAUCGCUGGAUAGGAUUUUAUUUUGUCAAGUAGUGCAUACAACAAAAUUGUACAUGAAAGACUUGACAGUGAUUGAAAGUGACUGGUUAUUAGAAUUAGCUCCUCAUUUUUACUACAAGACAACAUUCCGUGAAUAAAUAUAAAAUAUUGCAAU
rnacentral:lncRNA from 1 species